rnacentral:rRNA from 1 species
AUUUCCGGUUGAUCCCGCCGGACCCUACUGCUAUCGGGGUGGGACUAAGACAUGCGAGUCGAGCGUCUCCAGCUAUGGUGAGACGCGGCAGACGGCUCAGUAACACGUGGCUAACCUACCCUCAGGACAGGGACAAACCCGGGAAACUGGGGCUAAUACCCGAUAGGCGAGGGCGCCUGGAAUGGUUCUUCACCCAAAGGGCUUUGGAAGCAUGCUUUUCAAAGUCGCCUGGGGAUGGGGCCGCGUCCGAUCAGGUUGUUGGUGAGGUAACGGCUCACCAAGCCUAUAACCGGUACGGGCCGUGAGAGCGGUAGCCCGGAGAUGGGCACUGAGACAAGGGCCCAGGCCCUACGGGGCGCAGCAGUCGCGAAAACUCCGCAAUGCACGAAAGUGUGACGGGGCUACCCCGAGUGCCGUCCGCUGAGGAUGGCUUUUCCUCGGUGUAACUAGCCGGGGGAAUAAGGAGAGGGCAAGACUGGUGUCAGCCGCCGCGGUAAUACCAGCUCUCCGAGUGGUAGGGAUGAUUAUUGGGCUUAAAGCGUCCGUAGCCGGCUUAGCAAGUCUCCUGUUAAAUUCAGCGACCUAAUCGUUGAGCCGCGGGAGAUACUACUAGGCUAGGAGGCGGGAGGGGCCGACGGUACUUCCGGGGUAGGGGUGAAAUCCUAUAAUCCCGGGCGGACCACCAGUGGCGAAGGCUGUCGGCUAGAACGCGCUCGACGGUGAGGGACGGAAGCUGGGGGAGCGAACCGGAUUAGAUACCCGGGUAGUCCCAGCCGUAAACGAUGCGGGCUAGG